AGAGUUUGAUCCUGGCUCAGAACGAACGCUGGCGGCGCGUCUUAAACAUGCAAGUCGGACGGGAACCUCGGUGCUUGCAUUGAGGGGAGAGUGGCGAACGGGUGAGUAACACGUGGAUAAUCUACCCCUCAGUUGGGAAUAACUCAUCGAAAGGUGGGCUAAUACCGAAUAACACUGUAAGACCUUGGUCGAACAGUCAAAGAGAGCCUCUGCUUGCAAGCCCUCGCUGAAGGAUGAGUCCGCGUACCAUUAGCUAGUUGGUAGGGUAAUGGCCUACCAAGGCGACGAUGGUUAGCUGGUCUGAGAGGAUGAUCAGCCACACUGGAACUGAGAUACGGUCCAGACUCCUACGGGAGGCAGCAGUGAGGAAUAUUGCGCAAUGGGGGCAACCCUGACGCAGCGACGCCGCGUGAGUGAGGAAGGCCUUCGGGUCGUAAAGCUCUGUCAAAGGGAAAGAAGUGCAUGGAGGUUAAUACCCUUCAUGUUUGACGGUACCCUUAAAGGAAGCACCGGCUAACCCCGUGCCAGCAGCCGCGGUAAUACGGAGGGUGCAAGCGUUGUUCGGAAUUACUGGGCGUAAAGGGCGCGUAGGCGGUUUGAUAAGUCAGAUGUGAAAGCCCACGGCUUAACCGUGGAAGUGCAUUUGAAACUGUCAGACUUGAGUACCAGAGGGGAAAGUGGAAAUUCCCGGUGUAGAGGUGAAAUUCGUA
rnacentral:rRNA from 1 species